GACAGAGGGGGCAAGCGUUGCUCGGAAUCACUGGGCGUAAAGGGCGCGUAGGCGGGAUGGCAAGUCGGUCGUGAAAUCUCUCGGCUCAACCGAGAAACGUCGGCCGAUACUGCCGUUCUUGAGGGAUGCAGAGGAGACUGGAAUUCCCGGUGUAGCGGUGAAAUGUGUAGAGAUCGGGAGGAACACCGGUGGCGAAGGCGGGUCUCUGGGCAUUUCCUGACGCUGAGGCGCGAAGGCGUGGGGAGCAACCGGG
rnacentral:rRNA from 1 species